rnacentral:sRNA from 1 species
CUUUUUUUUGGUUUUUUAGUUACCCGUGCAUAAUUGACUAUCAAAAAGAGCUCGAAUGCGUAAUUGGUGAUAAAUUCAAACUUAUGUUAUACGGUGAACCGGAUGUAUGCAGAGAUGAUCUUUUUUUUUGUCUGUCUAUUUUUUUCGCUGUUUGAAUGACGGUAGGUAGGUCCCUUCUCCAGGAGUAGCAUGAUCCAGAUUGGGGAGAAACAUUACAAAGACUAAUCACAAGCACGGGUAAUCAACAACAUGACAAUCUUCUUCACAUCUGCUUUCAAACGACAAUAUAUCUCAUAUGGAUUGGAAUGAGAGAAAUGCUAGAAUUGACCGGUACAGAUUCUCAUAAGUUACUCAACAUACUAACAGAUUGAUAAACUAAUCUGUAAUCGAUGUCUUAUCUCGAUUGCACUCUUGUGUCUUCGUAAGCCACUCCAGAAAAGGUUUGAAGCAUCAUCCCUCUCUAUGGGAAACAUCUAAAUCACAACAUUUGAUUCUUUGUAUUUGUUUUGAUUUAUAACCAGUAGUUUUAAAGGCUUCAAGCCAAAGAACCCAGCCAAAUGGAAUGAGAAAGAUCGCCCAGGUGGUUGUGUUAGGAACACCCAUCUUAACUGUAAGACGGACGAGUUUUUGAAGCUUUCCAUGCUGAAACUUCCUAGAAGCGGUUCAGCAAUUUCAAUCAAGGGAAUGUGGUUCGACCCUUGUCGAGACUACUGCUUGAAGAACUGCAAAUGUCAAGCUUUUGCAUUACCAGUAGGUCCGGCAACUUUGAGAAAGUGAAGUUUGUAGUGUGUUCAAAAUUGUCUUCGGUAACAUUCUUUCCAAAGCUGUUGUGGGACAAUUUAUGUAUCUCAAUGCACCACUUCUUGUGAUGAAUGUCCGUAUUCACCUUCUACAAUAUCCACGUUUAUUUGAAAUUGAUGUUGUCUUCAUCACAAUCCCCCAAAUAAUUGAAGAGAUUAUGAGUUAGAUUGAUGAGAUUAAAUAGACCUUUAUAAAUCUCCAAGCUCUCAUUUUGUAUAAAACUAGGACAACAUCCGCGCUACGUUUCAUGUAUUUUUUUGUUUCUUUUAAAUUUAAUAUCAUAUUUUGAUAAAUUUUAUUUAUAAAUUUUCAAUCAUUCACUCAUGCAACCACCAACUUUGUUAGUGUCA